rnacentral:tmRNA from 1 species
AGCAUGUAGAAGCUAUCUGCUGAAUGUCUUCGGACGCGGGUUCGAUUCCCGCCGCCUCCAAAA